GGAAUAUAAGAAUCCGUUUUUUAACUUUUAACUAAAGAAGGUAAGAACCGACUAUUAAAUAAGAGUUUUAAGAACUGGUUCUUAACUUUUUUAAUUAAAAAUUAAGAGACGGGUUUUUAUAUUCC
rfam:Brassica napus, WGS project CCCW01000000 data, contig: 13462